ensembl:snoRNA SNORD24 Small nucleolar RNA SNORD24
UGCAGAUGAUGUGAAGAAUAUUUGCUAUCUGAAUAGCACUGUUGACAUCCCACCAAGAUCACUGAUGCA